AAUCAACGCUGGCGGCGCGCUUAACACAUGCAAGUCGAACGAGAAAGGGAGCAAUCCUGAGUAAAGUGGCGCACUGGUGAGUAACACGUGGAUAUCUACCUCUUGGUGGGGAAUAACCUGGGGAAACCUGGGCUAAUACCGCAUAAGUUCGUGAGAAGAAAGGCGCAAGCCGCCGAGAGAGGAGUCCGCGGUCGAUUAGAUAGUUGGCAGGGUAAAGGCCUACCAAGUCUAAGAUCGAUAGCCGGCCUGAGAGGGCACACGGCCACACUGGCACUGAAACACGGGCCAGACUCCUACGGGAGGCAGCAGUGGGGAGUCUUGCACAAUGGGGGAAACCCUGAUGCAGCGACGCCGCGUGAGCGAUGAAGCCCUUCGGGGUGUAAAGCUCUUUCGGCAGGAACGAUAAUGACGGUACCUGCAGAAGAAGCUGCGGCUAACUACGUGCCAGCAGCCGCGGUAAUACGUAGGCAGCAAGCGUUGUUCGGAAUUACUGGGCGUAAAGAGUGUGUAGGUGGUGUCGUAAGUUUGGUGUGAAAUCUCCCGGCUUAACUGGGAGGGUGCGCCGAAGACUGCGAUGCUUGAGUAUGGGAGAGG
rnacentral:rRNA from 1 species